UACGUAGGGUGCAAGCGUUAAUCGGAAUUAUUGGGCGUAAAGGGCUCGUAGGCGGUUUGUCGCGUCGGGAGUGAAAACCUACAGCUUAACUGUGGGCUUGCUUUCGAUACGGGCAGACUAGAGGUAUGCAGGGGAGAACGGAAUUCCUGGUGUAGCGGUGAAAUGCGCAGAUAUCAGGAGGAACACCGGUGGCGAAGGCGGGUCUCUGGGCAACUACUGACGCUGAGGAGCGAAAGCGUGGGGAGCGAACAGG
rnacentral:rRNA from 1 species